CCAGACUCCUACGGGAGGCAGCAGUGGGGGAUAUUGGACAAUGGGGGGAACCCUGAUCCAGCGAUGCCGCGUGAGGGAAGAAGGUUUUCGGAUUGUAAACCUCUGUUGACAGGGACGAUAAUGACGGUACCUGUCAAGAAAGCCACGGCUAACUCCGUGCCAGCAGCCGCGGUAAUACGGAGGAUGCGAGCGUUAUCCGGAUUUAUUGGGUUUAAAGGGUGCGUAGGCGGAAUGCCAAGUCAGCGGUAAAAGCGCGGGGCUAAACCUCGCUCCGCCGUUGAAACUGGCGUUCUUGAGUGGGCGAGAAGUAUGCGGAAUGAGUGGUGUAGCGGUGAAAUGCAUAGAUAUCACGCAGAACUCCGAUUGCGAAGGCAGCAUACCGGCGCCCAACUGACGCUGAAGCACGAAAGCGUGGGUAUCGAACAGGAUUAGAUACCCGCGUA
rnacentral:rRNA from 1 species